rnacentral:rRNA from 1 species
CCGGAUUUAUUGGGCGUAAAGCGUGUGUAGGCGGUUUGUUAAGUUUAAGAUUAAAGCCCGGAGCUCAAACUCCGGUUCGUCUUAAAAACUGGUAGACUUGAGUACGGUAGAGGCAAACGGGAAUUUCUAGUGUAGCGGUGAAAUGNGUAGAUAUUAGAAGGAACACCAGUGGCGAAAGCGGUUUGCUGGGCCGUUACUGACGCUGAGGCACGAAAGCGUGGGGAGCAAAUAGGAUUAGAUACCCUAGUAGUCCACGCCGUAAACGAUGAGUACUAAGUGUUGGAGUUUUCCAGUGCUGAAGCUAACGUACUAAGUACUCCGCCUGAGUAGUACGGUCGCAAGGCUGAAACUUAAAGGAAUUGACGGGCACCCGCACAAGCGGUGNAGCAUGCUGUUUAAUUCGACGAUACGCGAAGAACCUUACCUAGACUUGACAUCCCCGNCGANGNUAUAGAAAUAUAGCGGAGGUUANCCGGGUGACAGGUGGUGCA